AACGCACGAGACCUGCGGACCUGCGGAAGGAUCAUUACCGAGUUUUCAACUCCCAAACCCCAUGUGAACUUAUACCAUUUACAACCGUUGCUUCGGCGGGUUCUCGCCCCGGGCUUUACACCCCGGAACCAGGCGGCCCGCCGGGGGACCCAAACUCUAGAUUUAUAUUUUAGCAUGUCUGAGUGGAAUCAUUACAAAAUGAAUCAAAACUUUUAGCAAUGGAUCUCUAGAUCGGAAGAG
rnacentral:misc_RNA from 1 species